GAUGAAGAACGCAGCGAACUGCGAUAAGUAAUGUGAAUUGCAGAAUUCAGUGAAUCAUCGAGUCUUUGAACGCACAUUGCGCCCCCUGGCAUUCCGGGGGGCAUGCCUGUCCGAGCGUCAUUGCUGCCCUUCAAGCCCGGCUUGUGUGUUGGGUCGUCGUCCCCCCCGGGGGACGGGCCCGAAAGGCAGCGGCGGCACCGCGUCCGGUCCUCGAGCGUAUGGGGCUUUGUCACCCGCUCGAUUAGGGCCGGCCGGGCGCCAGCCGGCGUCUCCAACCUUCUAUUUUACCAGGUUGACCUCGGAUCAGGUAGGGAUACCCGCUGAACUUAAGCAUAUCAAUAACGGAGGA
rnacentral:misc_RNA from 1 species